rnacentral:lncRNA from 1 species
CCUAACAAUCCCUUCCCCUUUGAAAAUGACCUUGUCCUCAAGGUUUCUGUUGAGCCACAAAUUCUGAAAAUCGAUUCUUGAUAUAACCCCAAUCGUCCCAUGUCGCUUCUUUCACACUCAAGUUAGACCACUGAAUCAAAACCUUCAUGUUGACCCCAUUUUCGACCUUGACCAUUUUCUUUGAAGAAUUGCCAGUGGCUGAAUCAUGAUCUGUCCGUCGGUGUCACAACUAGGGGGUUGACGGUGAGUAACAACAGCUGGUCCAACUCGACGCUUCAGCUGGGAAACAUGAAAAACAAGGUGAAGAUGGGAUAAGCAAUGGCUGUAGUAACCCUGGAGAGUGAAUAUUUUCAGUCUUGAUCCUCUGACAAACAUCACACUCACUCACUCACUUGAACAUCUCUGCCUUCAUAUUUGGCCAAUAAAAAAUCAGUUGUAACCUUCUAUAGGUGCCCUGCUGGCCUGAAUGUCCACCAAUUGCAGAGUGAUGCAUAACAUGCAGUAUCUUAUUUCUUAAUUCAGUACUUCUGCCCACAUAAAUCUUCUGCUUGUAUCUUAUGAUGCCUUGGUAUAGAGAAUAGUAAAGUCUGCUGUCUAGAGAGACUAUCAGUUCCCCAAGUAAUUAUAGAGCUAUGGGGUCACCCUUAUAGCUAUUUCUCACUUCUUGCAACCAAGUAGGUUGUGUUGUAGAGAUAGCCAUAAAUGUAGGUUUUUCCUCGUGUCUCCUUGACAGUGCAUCUGCUACCUUAUUAUCUACUCUUUUCUUGUAUUGAACUCCAUACUCCAACCCUAGGAGUUGGCUAACCGUUUCUGCUGUAAUGAUGUAAUAACCUUCUGUUCUAUUAAGAACUUCAGACUUUGACGAUCAGUUUUCACAAUGAAAUGGCCUCCUUGUAAAUAAUGUCUCCAUUUGUCCACAGCUGAUAAGACAGUCAUGUACUCUUUAUCAUAGGUAGAAAGUCACUUGUGUUUUGGGGAUAGAGCCUUACUAAAAUAGACAAUAGGUCUUCCCCUUUGCAUUAGGACUGCUCCAAUCCCAAUAACAAAAGCAUCAGUUUCCACCACAAAUGGCUUAGUGAAGUCAACUAGUGCCCACGUUGGCACCGUAGACAUGGCUACUUUAAGCUGCUGAAAUGACUCAUCUGCCUCUUCUGUCCACUGAAAUGAGUUCUUCUUGAGUAGGUUAGUGAGUGGCCUACUAAUAAAUCCAUAAUUUUUCACAAAUCUUCUGUAAUAACCAGUUAACCCUAGGAAUCCCCUUAGUGCCUUUACAGAUUUGGGUGCAGGCAAUUCAACAUAGCUUUCAUUUUAGUAGGGUCAGUUGCCACCCUUUUUCCUGAUAUAAUAUGCCCCAAGUACUCUACCUUGUCUUGACCAAAAGCACACUUGGACAGUUUGGUAUAAAGCUGCUCCUUCAAUAGCACUUCUAGCACUUUCUGUAAAUGCAAGACAUGACUCUCAUUGAAUAACUAUAAACUAGUAUGUCAUCAAAGAAUAACAAAACAAACAUCCUCAAGAAUGGUUUGAACAUAUGAUUCAUAAGACUUUGGAAUGUAGCAGGGGCAUUGGUCAAGCAAUAAUUAUGACCUUGAAUUCAUAGUGCUCCAAAUGGGUCCUAAAUGCAGUUAUAAAAAUAUCAGUUUCUCCCAUUCUUAUUUGAUGAUACCCAGCCCUUAGAUCAAUCUUAGAAUAGAUGCAAGACCCACUAAGCUCAUCCAUUAGGUCAUCUACUAAAGGAAUAGGAAAUUUAUCCUUAAUAGUCAUCUUAUUCAAUUCCCUUUAAUAAAUACAAAACCUCCAACUGCCAUAUUUCGUUUUCACUAACAAUAUAAGAGAAGAAAAAGGUGAAUGACUGGGUUGUAUGAUACCAUUGUUGAGCAUUUCAUUCACUUGCUUUUCUAUCUCAUUCUUUUGGAAGUAAUUGUACCUAUAAGGCCUUAUGCUGACUCAUGAUGCUUCAGGUUUCAAUGGAAUAAAGUGAUCAUGACUCCUCUUUGGUGGCAAAGAUUUAGGUUCCACAAAAAC